rnacentral:tRNA from 1 species
CGGGGCGUAGCGCAGUUGGGAGCGCACCGCGUUUGGGACGCGGGGGUCGGCGGUUCGAGUCCGCCCGCCCCGA